AAGGCUGUUUGGAGAUUUGUACUGUGAUUGUUCCAGCGGAGGCAGUACUGCUGAUGGGGUGAUGCGUCCAUUUUACUUGUUUUUACGAUAGCAAAAGUAUGCGUAAUUACUUAGCAAGGCCAAAGCUAACAAACAGAACCCGGAAUAUGACCAUUUGCACGGGAUUGGUGGAUCAUUCGACUCAGGGACAUCUGCAGCCAUUCGGAGCCGAUGAAAGAAAUCGCCGUUACCAUCGCCGGGAAAUCAACGAUUUUCACGAUUUCUCAUUUAUUUUGGCGAAUAAACUUUUGCCUGGGCCUGUCCGACACACAAAAAUUUUUCGUGUACCCAACGCCUGACUAACCCACACAAAUGCAGGCGUCGCCACUUCAGUAUGUACGACUCAUCGCUGUUAUUUCUCCCCUCCAGGUUGAAUUUCACAGAAUUGAUGUUUUUC